AGCAGCCGCGGUAAUUCCAGCUCCAAUAGCGUAUAUUAAAGUUGUUGCAGUUAAAAAGCUCGUAGUUGAAUUUCGGGGUUAGUAGAUUGGUCGUGCCUCCGGUAUGUACUGGUCUUACUGAUUCCUCCUUCUUGAAGAACUGUGAUGCCAUUAAUUUGGCGUUGCAGGGAAACAGGACUGUUACUUUGAAAAAUUAGAGUGUUUAAAGCAGGCAAUCGCUUGAAUACAUUAGCAUGGAAUAAUGAAAUAGGACGUUCGAUCCUAUUUUGUUGGUUUCUAGGAUUGACGUAAUGAUUAAUAGGGAUAGUUGGGGGCAUUAGUAUUCAAUUGUCAGAGGUGAAAUUCUUGGAUUUAUUGAAGACUAACUACUGCGAAAGCAUUUGCCAAGGAUGUUUUCAUUAAUCAAGAACGAAAGCUAGGGGAUCGAAGACGAUCAGAUACCGUCGUAGUCUUAACCAUAAACUAUGCCGAC
rnacentral:rRNA from 1 species